CAUUUUUUCUAACACUGACAAAUUUUGACAUUGGCCAAAAAUCAAAAGUAAACAAGAUGUGCGCGCCAGAAUAAUAAUAAUAAUACAGAAAAAAGCCAGAAAAUAAUAAUUAUUUGCGUAAUGAAUGCGAAUUUUUCAAAAAUAUUUUCCAUUAUAGCUCGCAGUUAUAUGCAGAUGCGAACGUUGCAAUAUGGAGAUAUUUCAGGUCUUGCUUUGGAAAAGAGGAAAAUACGGCGAUUUUAGGAAGUUUUGUACGUGAAACCUUAAUCCUUUGUACAUUAAGGAUUUUACCGCACAACAAUCCGAUUACUGGCUUAGGUGUAUGUCCAUAGUAGCAUGGUCAUCUGCACCCUCUUUUCAACCUAACUAGUAAUUUCUUUUACAUUAAAAAAAAAAAC